UGCUAUUCUUUUGCUUUCUAAAUAGUGUUUUAAUUUCCUGCCUUAGCGCCUCACAUCGUUUGCGAUUUCGCUUCGAUUUCGUUUUCGAUGCGGCUUCACCUAAAUCCACCCCAAUGGCCAAGCCGUGUUUCUACAAACACGAUCAACGUUCACAAUUAUCACAGACCAAGAUUUACAAUUUCGCCUCUGCGAAAUGACAACUGUUUCGAGGGCCACUAAAAAAUAUUUUGCGUAAACGAGUGGUGAAACAUUUUCAGCUGACCGAAAUCAAUACGAAUCUGAAAGAUGGAAACAACAGAUAUAUACGAAUUGUGAUCUAUUUUGAAUAUAUUACUGAUCUUCAACAGACUGUAAUUGCAUCAAGGAGGGGGCUAACAGACCUUGACGAAAAGUAUUCCUUUUGCGGAAGAAAGUUAGUUAUGUUUUCCCCGAAUGAUCAAACGUUGAAGAUGAGGUUGAAAUCGCUGUGAGAAUAUCUUGGCAAAUCGGAAGUGUUAUAAUCCGCGCUUUUGUUGAUGGAGUUCGUUUCAUGUUCUGCUUUGGUAGUAGCGUGGUGACCUGACGAACGGAGUGUGGAAACACGGCGUUUUUUUAAUUAACAAGGGAUUUUUAGAGUUUAAAACAGUCGAAAAUUUGCAUGUUACAUUACUCUUUUGCCCAAAAUAAUUACUCCUAAAAUCUAAAAGCAGCAGAUCGGCCGUGGAGUAUUUUUUGCAAUAUCAAUCAAGCGGUUAGCCUAAAAGCUCGAUGAAAGCGAAAUUGGAGACGUAUUUUUCCAGUUUUAGCUACAAUCUGCCAUUUGUUUUGUUUUUUUGUUUUUUUUUUUAUCAUUUUAUUUUUUAUUGCAAGAUUGACAGCUCCACUCAUUACUUCAUUUUAUUAAACAGCAGUGUUUUUAUUUUUUCUUAACUAUGUUAUACAAACUUAAUGUUGUGUUAUCACAUCAGGCACGGAUUUCAUUCGUUCAAUCGAAAUUAUGAAUAUUCCCCAUGCGUCGAAAGCGCCAGAAUAGAUAUUUGGAUAAUUCGCGGAACAAUUUCUGCUCCAGCCCUCCCCUGUUAGUACCACUUCGCGCAAGUCGGUAUCGGGAGUAAGUUAUAGUUCGCAACUCGAAAACAUCGGUCCAAUAGUUUGUUCGUAAUUGGCGUACGAUGUCCACGGAGAAUAAACGACCGGCCCUGGUGAAGACAGAGAAGCGCAGCUUUGAUGAUGCCCAGAGUCGUUUAAAAUGCAGAAAGCUUCUUGGAAUCGGAGGAAAGGAACCUUCGAAGGUAUGUAUUAAAUAGGACGCGUAGGAUACGGUAAUAAAACGGCCGGGUUAUUUUUUUCGCGCGCUUUCGAAACGCAGCCUCGUUGUUACAAUGUACUGUCGCCGUGCGCUCACCGCACUUUGAAUAAGUUUCCUUUCUCAUUAUAAUAUUCAUUUGUCAAGCUGUAAAUCCUGACAUGGGUCUUGCUUUGAUGAUUACUUUGGCCGUACUGGCUCAGCUCAACCGAAGAAAUUUUCAUUCCUCGUGCACUUUCCAAAUCUCAAGCGAACGUAAUUCGCUCGUUUGUGCUAAGAGAAGAAAUGAUUUUUUUGUUGUUGUUUUUUGUAUUUUUCUGUCCUUUUCCAUUCACACAAUGACCUUGUCAGAGGCUAUGAGUGUUUGACAGAACUUUUGCUUUUGAAAUGACUCUCCGAAUAUUAGUAUCAGAUUAGAGAACGUUUUCAAGCGUGUUUUCUUACGUUUUGUCUAAGGAAAAAAAAGGCCCGUGUUCGCUAACUAUCGUCGCCGCUACGGCAGCUGUAUUCAUGAUUUUCACCAUAUCGCUUGGGGUUUCAAGCUGUACUUGAUUACAUUAUUUGUUCUCUGAUAAAUGAGAAUAUUGCUGUGCAUUGGCGGCUUGUGAAUAAAUUCACCAGGAUGUACGAGAGUUUAUUGUUCUAAAUAUUAUUAUCAUUUUGCUUUGAAUAGAGCAUGGCGUUCUCUUCAAGGAACCCCGUGCUCGAUCUGUUUCAAGAUUUCUCAAAACUGCAGGAAGACCCUAUAAACUGGCUAACAAUAGCCAAACUUUUGUUUGGUAAAUAAUGUUACAAACUUCUUCGAUGUUUCGCAUGUGUCAUUAACAUGUUGUCGAGAACAUUAAACCAAAACCGCGAAUUUUGAACUCAAUGCGCCCAAGUUCAUAACCAGUGUCUCGCAAAGAUUUUCAGCCAGGUUAAUAUGCAUUCAGGUUUUUAAUCGAAAAAAGUGACAGCGCAGAAUUAGAAAAAGGCCAACUAGCGCAUCCUAUUAAGCUAGAAAUACAUAAAUAUACAAUUGUUUUACUUUCUUGACAUCCCUUGCCUUUGUGUGUUUAUUUUUUUUCCCCUUGCAGUACAGUUUCUUUAGAUCAAAAGCCUGAAAUAUUUACAGCUUGUCUUUUCUGUGACAUGGCUGUCGUUUUUUUUUCUUAAUCUAGACUAUCUUACUUAGUUUAAUGUCUGAAAAUUUUAAGUUUCAAACUUUAAAAAAAAUGAAAACAGGAAAUCUUGGUUUUCGUCCGGUUUGACAAUGAGUGAAAUUUCAAUUUUGUAUCAAAAGAGAGCUUUUAAGAGAGCUUUUUAUAGCUACCAAACAAUAGUACAUUUCUUUUUGAAUUGCUAACUAAUAACUCUGUCUUUUAAUUCAUGGACAGAGAUCACCCCAGGGCAGAUAUGAGAUAAAAAGUGCGAUUUUGUCCCACAGUUUUUUUAUUACUUGUCGAUAAUAGUAUUUAUUUUUUUCUUUCAAACCGGAUUUCUACCUUUUACCUUUUGUCUCAGCGAUGUAAAUCUCUUUAAGUCGAUCGCUGAUUGAAGGUCUAAGUAAUAAUUCACAUUAGUGAUUCCUCUUGAAAGUGGUGUUUACGGCCACUUAAACCUGCUUAUGUACUCGCCAAAGCUUUCGCAAAGGUGUGCUUUCAGCCGUGCGGUUUUAUUUUGUGUUUGUGCCACCUUGAGGUUUAGACAGAGAGUUGACACCUUGAUUAUGCCUGUUUUGUGUUGACACUGUAUUUACGUAGCGAUACGUCUGUAUACACGGCUGUAGUUCUUUUAAUGACGAAGUUCAUUUGACUUUUUGAUGCCAAAAAUCGCUGAAAUGAUCUGAAUUCAAACAAAGAUAUCACUCACACCUGCUAACGACCGUAAACCCCAACAUUAUCAUGUUUUGAGAGAAUCAUAGCGCCCUCUGUUGGGAAUUUCCUAAAACGGUUGAACUCGUGGAAUUCGUUAACGCGUUUGCAACUAACGAAGUUUCGCUUAUUUAUGUUGGCUUUUUUGUUGUUGCGUAUUAAACAUUAGUUGGCUUCACACCUGAAGCAGUAAGCAGUUGACUCAAGUGCACUUGAAAAUCUCAAGUCGCACUUUAAUUUAGAGCUUAGCACCUGAUGGCAAAGAGACAAACUAACUUCCGAGUUAGGAUUUCGAGUUGGAUUUUCGAGUUAGGAUUUC